rnacentral:rRNA from 1 species
AUUGAACGCUGGCGGCAGGCCUAACACAUGCAAGUCGAGCGGAGCGGCGGACGGGUGAGUAAUGCCUAGGAUUCUGCCUGGUUGUGGGGGAUAACGUCCGGAAAUGGGCGCUAAUACCGCAUACUAUCAGAUGACCCUAGGUGGGAUUAGCUAGUUGGUGGGUUAAAGGCCUACCAAGGCGACGAUCCGUAACUGGUCUGAGAGGAUGAUCAGUCACACUGGAACGGGAACACGGUCCGUACUCCUACGGGAGGCAGCAGUGGGGAAUAUUGGACAAUGGGCGAAAGCCUGAUCCAGCCAUGCCGCGUGUGUGAAGAAGGUCUUCGGAUUGUAAAGCACUUUAAGUUGGGAGGCGUUACCAACAGAAUAAGCACCGGCUAACUUCGUGCCAGCAGCCGCGGUAAUUC